rnacentral:rRNA from 1 species
AGAUUUGGGCGUUCUGCCUUCGGGUAGACAGAGAGGACAGGUGGUGCAUGGUUGUCGUCAGCUCGUGUCGUGAGAUGUUGGGUCAAGUCCCGCAACGAGCGCAACCCUUAUCUUUAGUUGCCAUCAGGUAAUGCUGGGCACUCUAGAGAGACUGCCGGUGACAAACCGGAGGAAGGUGGGGAUGACGUCAAAUCAUCAUGCCCCUUAUGUCCUGGGCUACACACGUACUACAAUGGCCGGUACAAAGGGCGGCAAGGGGUGACCCGGAGCAAAUCCCAGCAAACCGGUCUCAGUUCGGAUUGUAGUCUGCAACUCGACUACAUGAAGUCGGAAUCGCUAGUAAUCGCAGGUCAGCAUACUGCGGUGAAUACGUUCCCGGGCCUU